AUACCUACCUGACAAGGGAGAUGCCAUGAUCACAAAGGUGGUUUUCCCAGGGCUUAUCCAUUGCACUCCAGAUAUGCUGACCCCUGAGAGUUCCCCAAAUGUGGGAAACUUGCUUGCAUAACUUGUGGUAGCGGGGGGCUGCAUUCACACUCUCCUG